rnacentral:rRNA from 1 species
AACGAACGCUGGCGGCAUGCCUAACACAUGCAAGUCGAACGAGACCUUCGGGUCUAGUGGCGCACGGGUGCGUAACGCGUGGGAAUCUGCCCUUGGGUUCGGAAUAACAGCGAGAAAUUGCUGCUAAUACCGGAUGAUGACGUAAGUCCAAAGAUUUAUCGCCCAAGGAUGAGCCCGCGUAGGAUUAGCUAGUUGGUGAGGUAAAGGCUCACCAAGGCGACGAUCCUUAGCUGGUCUGAGAGGAUGAUCAGCCACACUGGGACUGAGACACGGCCCAGACUCCUACGGGAGGCAGCAGUGGGGAAUAUUGGACAAUGGGCGAAAGCCUGAUCCAGCAAUGCCGCGUGAGUGAUGAAGGCCUUAGGGUUGUAAAGCUCUUUUACCCGGGUAUGAUAAUGACAGUACCGGGAGAAUAAGCUCCGGCUAACUCCGUGCCAGCAGCCGCGGUAAU